rnacentral:lncRNA from 1 species
GUCAGUUUAUAUGACUUUAGUGUGAAAUAGGGGCGGUAAUCCAUUCAUUUUAUCCAAUCAAUUUGGGGGGGGGGUCAACAAUGAUAGUCAAAAAGCCUUGAAAUAUUCGAUAAAAACGUUGAAUGUAAAUUAUAUGAACUCCAAAGUCUCAUAUUAUAAGACUAGUAAACCACAGGCUUCUCAAUUCUUGUAUGAUCAUGAACUAGGUGAAAACCUAGAGCUGACCGAGUGCGAGAUCCUCAUGGAUAAUCAUCGAGGUCGUUAAACACCCCUUGCAGUAAACUUGGGUUAAAUUUUAAAAAAAUCGAAAUGUAAUAGUCUGAACACAUUUCACCUCUCAUUCCACUAAAUAUUAAAUUGCAGUUACAAGUAUUACAAAACCUCCCUGACCUCUUUUCUUUAACCAUAAUAGAGGGGGGAGGGACGGAGGGAUCCAGAUCCCGAAAUCCCGGGCUUAAAAACACGACAUCCUGAGGUCCUGAAUUUAAAAAAAUUUAAUUCCCGACUACCGGAAAUUCGGAAAUAGAAUUCCCGGAUCCCGAAAGUGUCAAUCCCGAAAUCUCGAGCUUAAAAACACUCAAUCCCGGAGUUCCGAUAAAGGUCCUACCCCCUCCCCCGAAAUUCUAUAUUCUAUUCAUUCAUAAUCUUGAAUUGAGACUUGAUACUUCAAAAUUACAUUCUAAUUUUGAAUGAUGCACACAGGCACAAUAAAAGAAAACAGAUUUCGCUAUAUAUCUCUUCGAAAUUGGAAUUUGUGAAAGAAGAAAUGACAUGUUAUAUUUUAUCUUACAUGUGUACUUUCAAUUUCAAUAUGGUUCUAAAUUUAGAUUUAGUUUUCCCAUAAAUUGCGGACGGAAUAGAAGACACCUGUUUAUUUUCUGCACAUGUAGAAAAAGUUGAAAACUGGGAGUUGAAUGACAUAAUUUUUACUUACUUUUAAGAUAAAUGUUAGAGUGAGACAACUUUUAAGUUACUGAAUAAUUUUUGGGGCCUAAUUUGUUUAUUUUUUGUUUGUUUUCCGUCUUUGUUCUUCCGACC